rnacentral:misc_RNA from 1 species
CACUACUAUACACAUCUGUGUGCCCCCCCCCUCCCAUUGGCCUUGUGCCUCGCUCUCGCUCGCGCUCUCUGUCUGUCUCACUCGUGUGUGUGUUUGUGUGUGCGCGCGUGUAUGUGAGCGGGCAUCGUAGCCUUCUCCCACCGUUCUUUACGCCUUCCUGCUUUAUUUCCUUUGUUGUUCUUCUUGUGCGCCUACCCCACCACCACCACCCCCCAUACACACCAUACACCACACCACACAGGGCUCCCUGACGGCGGUGCUUGUCUUCCUCUUAUGCUUUCUGCGUGGGACGAAGAGCAACGAUACUCCGAAAUUAGCGCCCGCGCCGUCUCCACACUUGUCACCUCUCCCUAAUCCCUCCCCCUCCCCCCCCCGCACCUCUUCGCAACCGGCAGGUAUGUUUCGCUCGUGUGUGCAUCGCCUUGCCCCCAAGGCGAAGGAGGCGUUUGUUCGCGGUAAGCCGCAUCUCAUCAUCGGCACCAUCGGUCACGUCGACCACGGCAAGACGACGCUGACGUCGGCCAUCACGACGGUUCUCGCGAAGCGCGGUCAGGCGCAGGCGCUGGACUACUUCGCCAUCGACAAGUCCCCGGAGGAGAAGAGCCGCAAAAUCACCAUCAAUGCCACGCACGUCGAGUACGAGUCGGAGAAACGCCACUACGGACACAUCGACUGCCCCGGUCACAUGGACUUUGUGAAGAACAUGAUCACCGGAGCUGCGCAGAUGGACGGUGGCAUCAUUGUGGUGGCGGCCACCGACGGCGUCAUGCCGCAGACACGCGAGCACCUCCUGAUCUGCUCGCAGAUCGGGCUUCCGGCGCUCGUAGGGUUCAUCAACAAGGUGGACAUGACGGACGAGGACACGUGCGACCUGGUGGACAUGGAGCUGCGCGAGCAGCUGGAGAAAUACAAGUUUCCGGCGGAGGAGACGCCAAUCGUGCGCGGCUCAGCCCUCAAAGCCGUCGAGGGCGAUGCGAAGUACGAGGAGAACAUUCUCGAACUGGUGCGGAAGUGUGACGAGUGGAUCCCUGACCCGCCGCGCAACACAGACAAGCCUUUCCUUAUGGCCAUCGAGCACGUUUACGAGAUCGGCAAGGACAAGAAGAGCGUUGUCGUGACCGGCCGCGUCGAUCAGGGCAUUCUGAAGCUCAACACAGACGCCGAGCUGGCCGGCUUCAGCUCCAAGAAGUCGACGGUGAGGGUGACGGGCAUCGAGAUGUACCACAAGACGCUGAGCGAGUGCAUGCCUGGUGACUCCGUCGGCGUCAGCAUUGUCGGGACCGGCGACACGACCAGUCUAUCCAAGGGCAACGUGGAACGCGGCAUGGUGAUGGCGGCGACGGGUAGCACGAACCUGUACAACAAGGUGAAGGCGCAGGUGUACGUGCUGACGAAGGAUGAGGGCGGCCGCCACACUGGCUUUAGUCCUCACUACCGCCCGCAGCUCUUCUUCCAUUGUGCUGACGUGACGGCGGACAUGAGCUUCCCGGAGGCGGAGAAGCACCGCGAAGAGCUCAACAAGAAAUUCGGCCGCGGCCCCGAGGAGGACAAGAAGAAAGAGGCAGCGAUGAAGGAGUUCGAGAGCAAGCUCGUCUGCAUGCCGGGCGAUAACCGCGAGCUGAUCCUGACGCUGGCGUACCCGAUGCCCAUUGAAAAGGGUCUGAAGUUCACCAUCCGUGAGGGCAAGAUCACUGUCGGCUGGGGCGCCGUGGUGGAGACAAUGGGCCUCGACACGAAGGUGAACAUUGAAGGCAAGCGCAUCGGCGCGAAGCCGGUGACUGGCAAGAAGAAGAAGUAGAGUGCACAUGGCUGAGUGCAUGAGGGUGUGUCUGGAGGAAAGGGGAGGGAGGCGGAGGUAACGGGAAGAGAUGGUGACGCUGUGACGCUGGAAGCAAAGGAACUGAGAGAACUACGUGUCUAUUAGGUUAGACUCCCUCCUCCCGGCCCUUCAGCAUGCACGCCGCCACCACCACCGUAACCACACCUUUUUCUUUCAUGCGCGCGUGCGUGCAUCGCUUUUUUUUCGUAUGUGUGCGGGGGGGGGGGGGUCUACUUCCCCUCUUGUUUAAUUCACAGAUUCUUCACUCUUCGUUUCGCCUCUAAUGCGUGCGCGGUGCGAUGUGUGUGCGUGUGUGUGUGUGUGUGUGUAUGUAGGUUUCCGCUCGUGUUCCUUGUUGGUGUCGUGCCCUUGUUGGUAUCUUGUAACGGCGACAAGUGUAUCGGGCUCUUGCCGCCCCGUCUUCUGGUGUUCGUUUUUGUGUGUGUAUUGUGCUUCUUACCGUGUUGGAAAGUGCGGCGUGCUGUGUGCGGGAAGGAGGGGGUGUCUCUGUGUGCGUGCGUUUGGUGGCGGGGCGGGUAGGAGGGUGAUGGAGACUGUCUUAUACACCAGCCUCGCUCUCUGCCCUCCGCCCUGCGGCUUUUCUCCCUGUGUAGUGGUGGACAAGAACGCAGGAGGUGUGUGAGCGCGUACAGACGCACACGCCUACACGGGAAAUGCGCACAGUCGCACGCACCCAUCCCCUCGUUUGUCUCUUCGGGCCGUUUUCUAUUUUGUGUGGAAUGUCUUGAUUACUUUAAAAACGAGAGAUAAGAGACCACAUCUCAUCCACAACAGGAUCUGCCUGUGCGUGUGUAUGUGUGCGUGUGCGUGUGCGUAAGGAAGUCGUCCUCUCGGGUGGUGCUGGCUCGUUCUUGAGCUGCGCUGACGCGCACAGGCACACAGGACGCGCAGGCCCAGCUCAUGGUACGCACAUUGGUAAAGCGGGCAGUGUCACGUCAAGACUUCGUCUUUGUUUUUAAUGAAGCAUGCAUGAGCU